AUUGAACGCUGGCGGCAUGCUUUACACAUGCAAGUCGAACGGUAACAGGCCGCAAGGUGCUGACGAGUGGCGAACGGGUGAGUAAUGCAUCGGAACGUGCCCAGUCGUGGGGGAUAACUACUCGAAAGAGUAGCUAAUACCGCAUACGAUCUAUGGAUGAAAGCGGGGGACCGUAAGGCCUCGCGCGAUUGGAGCGGCCGAUGUCAGAUUAGGUAGUUGGUGGGGUAAAGGCUCACCAAGCCAACGAUCUGUAGCUGGUCUGAGAGGACAACCAGCCACACUGGGACUGAGACACGGCCCAGACUCCUACGGGAGGCAGCAGUGGGGAAUUUUGGACAAUGGGCGCAAGCCUGAUCCAGCAAUGCCGCGUGCAGGAAGAAGGCCUUCGGGUUGUAAACUGCUUUUGUACGGAGCGAAACGGCUCUGGUUAAUACCCGGGGCUAACGACGGUACCGUAAGAAUAAGCACCGGCUAACUACGUG
rnacentral:rRNA from 1 species